AACCGCGUACUUUUUGUAGAACGGUCCGGCGAGUUGCGCUGGCUGGCGAGGUUAAGCACCAAAGGUGUGGAGCCGAAGGGAAACCAAGUCUUAAUAGGGCGUUAUAGUCAGUCGGAGCAGACCCGAAACCGGGUGAUCUAUCCAUGUCCAGGUUGAAGUUGCCGUAAAAGGCAAUGGAGGACCGAACCCACAUCCGUUGAAAAGGGUGGGGAUGAGGUGUGGAUAGGGGAGAAAUUCCAAUCGAACCCGGAGAUAGCUGGUUCUCCUCGAAAUAGCUUUAGGGCUAGCCUCAUAUAAGUCUUGCGGAGGUAGAGCACUGAAUUUCCUAGGGGGCGUCAAAGCUUACCGAAGAAUAUCAAACUCCGAAUGCCGUGUAGAUGUUGUAUGGGAGUCAGACUGUACGAGAUAAGUUGGACAGUCAAAAGGGAAAGAGCCCAGACCUGCAGCUAAGGCCCCAAAAUGUGUGUUAAGUGGAAAAGGAUGUGGGAUUUCAAAGACAACUAGGAUGUUGGCUUAGAAGCAGCCAUACAUUCAAAGAGUGCGUAAUAGCUCACUAGUCGAGAGGUCCUGCGCCGAAAAUGUCCGGGGCUGAAACACACUGCCGAAGCUCAGGAAUGAUCCUAGAUCAUUGGUAGAGGAGCAUUGUAUACGGGACGAAGCAGUACCGAUAAGGAGCUGUGGACUGUAUAGAAGAGAGAAUGCCGGAAUGAGUAGCGAGAGGAAGGUGAGAAUCCUUCCGGCCGAAUAUCUAAGGUUUCCAGAGUAAAGCUGAUCUGCUCUGGGUAAGUCGGGGCCUAAGGCCAGGUCGAAAGACGUAACCGAUGGACAACAGGUUGAAAUUCCUGUACCUUAAGUAAACAGAACUGUGGGGACACGUGUGGAGAGCACAAGCCGGAAAUGGAAAAGCCGGUGCAAGCGAGGUAGGAGAUGAGCAGGCAAAUCCGUUCAUCAAUCCGAAGACGUGAUGCGGACCGAAUUAAGAGUAGGGAAGUGUGUGAGCCAUGCGUCAAGAAAAGCCGCUAUUGUUUUACUUAAGCCCGUACCGUAAACCGACACAGGUGGAUGAGGAGAGAAUCCUAAGGCCGACGGGAGAAGCAUUGUUAAGGAACUCGGCAAAAUGACUCCGUAACUUCGGGAGAAGGAGUGCCAGCGAGAGCUGGCCGCAGAGAAUUGGCCCAAGCAACUGUUUAGCAAAAACACAGGUCUAUGCAAAACCGUAAGGUGAAGUAUAUGGGCUGACGCCUGCCCGGUGCUGGAAGGUUAAGAGGAGAGGUUAGCGGUAACGCGAAGCUUUGAAUUUAAGCCCCAGUAAACGGCGGCCGUAACUAUAACGGUCCUAAGGUAGCGAAAUUCCUUGUCGGGUAAGUUCCGACCCGCACGAAAGGCGUAAUGAUUUGGGCACUGUCUCAACAAUGCACCCGGUGAAAUUGAAAUACCAGUGAAGAUGCUGGUUACCUGCGCCAGGACGGAAAGACCCCAUGGAGCUUUACUCCAGCUUGAUACUGGGAUUCGGUAUUGCAUGUACAGGAUAGGUGGGAGGCUAGGAAGUGAUGACGCCAGUUGUCACGGAGCCGCUGUUGGGAUACCACCCUUGCAGUAUUGGAUUUCUAACCAGCGACCAUGAACUGGUCGGGGGACAAUGUCAGGUGGGGAGUUUGACUGGGGCGGUCGCCUCCGAAAGGGUAUCGGAGGCGCUCAAAGGUUCCCUCAGAAUGGACGGAAACCAUUCGAAGAGUGCAAAGGCAGAAGGGAGCUUGACUGCGACACCGACGGGUGGAGCAGGUACGAAAGUAGGACUUAGUGAUCCGGUGGUAUAAAGUGGGAUUGCCAUCGCUCAACGGAUAAAAGCUACCCUGGGGAUAACAGGCUUAUCACUCCCAAGAGUUCACAUCGACGGAGUGGUUUGGCACCUCGAUGUCGGCUCAUCGCAUCCUGGGGCUGAAGUAGGUCCCAAGGGUUGGGCUGUUCGCCCAUUAAAGCGGUACGCGAGCUGGGUUCAGAACGUCGUGAGACAGUUCGGUCCCUAUCCGGCGUGGGCGUAGGAUAUUUGAGAGGAGCUGUCCUUAGUACGAGAGGACCGGGAUGGACUGGCCGCUGGUGUAUCUGUUGCAUACCAAGUGCAUGGCAGAGUAGCCAAGCCGGGACGGGAUAAACGCUGAAGGCAUCUAAGCGUGAAGCCCCCCUCAAGAUGAGAUAUCCCUACGUAAGUAGUAAGACCCCUUGAAGACGACGAGGUAGAUAGGUCAGAGGUGGAAGUACAGUAAUGUAUGGAGCUGACUGAUACUAAUCGGUCGAGGGCAUGACCAAG
rnacentral:rRNA from 1 species